AGUGAACGCUGGCGGUAUGCCUAACACAUGCAAGUCGAACGGCAGCACAGUAAGAGCUUGCUCUUACGGGUGGCGAGUUGCGGACGGGUGAGGAAUACAUCGGAAUCUACUUUUUCGUGGGGGAUAACGUAGGGAAACUUACGCUAAUACCGCAUACGACCUACGGGUGAAAGCAGGAGAUCUUCGGACCUUGCGCGAUUGAAUGAGCCGAUGUCGGAUUAGCUAGUUGGCGGGGUAAAGGCCCACCAAGGCGACGAUCCGUAGCUGGUCUGAGAGGAUGAUCAGCCACACUGGAACUGAGACACGGUCCAGACUCCUACGGGAGGCAGCAGUGGGGAAUAUUGGACAAUGGGCGCAAGCCUGAUCCAGCCAUACCGCGUGGGUGAAGAAGGCCUUCGGGUUGUAAAGCCCUUUUGUUGGGAAAGAAAAGCAGCAGGUUAAUACCCAGCUGUUCUGACGGUACCCAAAGAAUAAGCACCGGCUAACUUCGUG
rnacentral:rRNA from 1 species